CUGCCCAUAGCUCAGCUGGAUAGAGCAACGGCCUUCUAAGCCGUAGGUCACAGGUUCGACUCCUGUUGGGCAGGCCA
rnacentral:tRNA from 3 species